rnacentral:lncRNA from 1 species
AUGUCAUAUGAUGUCAUUUUAUAUGACACACAAAGAUCAUAUAUAGAAGCAAUUUCAAAUUUAAUCAUUAAAAUUUUGGGAGUUGGAGAAUUGAACUACGUUUCCAGAGGUACAUUCACGGCAGUUCAAAUAAAAAGAAUUGGAACUGACGAUAUCCAGAUGGAUCUAAUGUUUGCCAGCAGCCAGGAAAUCAUGGAUGGUGGUCCGAGGAAAGGGCAAGAAUCAUCUGGUCACAGGUCAGGAAUAAAUGAACGACCUGAACCCAGAUCACUGAGGACAAAGCACCAAUUAACUAAAAGUCAUUGUCAACUGGUUGACAAAAUGAUCAGAAAGUUAAUUCAUCGGGUGUUUAAAAGGUCCAAAGUGUCUUGCUUCCCGGAGAACUUGGACUUUUAUACAAAGUACCUCUUUAAAAAACUGUGGCCUGAGGCAAAGAGGCUUCGACGCCACAUCAAUAAGGAAAAUUUUAAAGGUCUCCACAAAAGGAUCCACAAGGACAUGAGACAAAUUUUCCAAUUUAACCUUGGUGUAGGCAUCUCUGACAUGGAGAAGACAAUGUUUGAGGACUUACUGAUAAGACUCUUCAAACUGCACCUGUCAAAGAAGCCCAUAGUCUACACUGAGGUUGAAGACUGCUCAGACACGGACUCCCUUUAUUUACAAAAGAUGACUGUACCGGGGAGAACCGAACAAAAGAAGGUCUCCUUUACAGACUUAAGACACACGUUUAGUGAUGAGGAGUUCCAAAAGAAACCGUUUGGCCUGACAGCUUCAGACCCACAAUAUUGGUCAGUUGGCAUUCAGUCGGCUUUACAGUCGAGGGGGAGGCAAGAAAAAUGCAACAUGUUGAUCAAUCAGUUCUUGACGGAGCUGAUCCCCCUCAUGUUUGAAAAAGCCUACGUGGAAUGCUCUAAAGCUAAUUUUGACCAUCUAUUCAACCGGCUGUACAACAAAUUGUGGGAUUUGUGUGGGACUGCAGAUUUCAGGUUGACAAAGGAAAACGUGAAAAACCUUGCCAAGGAGACGUACAAAAACCUAUUUAAUUAUAGCCAAAAUAAAGACUGUUUGGCUUUAAUGACAUUGGAUUUGUAUGAACCUCCAAGUGACAUCAUUGUGGCAAAAACCUUUGAAAAACACAUGUUGAAGGAAAAAUCAAUGGUGUCCAAGUUCUUCACGUCCUUGUCAAAAGUCUUCACAAGAUCUGGAAGCAAGUAG